AACACCCGAAGUCGGUGGGGUAACCUUUUUGGAGCCAGCCGCCUAAGGUGGGACAGAUGAUUGGGGUGAAGUCGUAACAAGGUAGCCGUAUCGGAAGGUGCGGCUGGAUCACCUCCUUU
rnacentral:rRNA from 1 species